CUAAUACAUGCAAGUCGAACGCUUUUUCUUUCACCGAGAUUUAUCUCACCGAAAGAAAAAGAGUGGCGAACGGGUGAGUAACACGUGGGUAACCUGCCCAUCAGCGGAGGAUAACACUUGGAAACAGGUGCUAAUACUGCAUAAUACGAAGGAUCACAUGGUCUUUCGUUGAAAGGCGCUUUUGCGUCACUGAUGGAUGGACCCGCGGUGCAUUAGCUAGUUGGUGAGGUAACGGCUCACCAAGGCCACGAUGCAUAGCCGACCUGAGAGGGUGAUCGGCCACACUGGGACUGAGACACGGCCCAGACUCCUACGGGAGGCAGCAGUAGGGAAUCUUCGGCAAUGGACGAAAGUCUGACCGAGCAACGCCGCGUGAGUGAAGAAGGUUUUCGGAUCGUAAAACUCUGUUGUUAGAGAAGAACAAGGAUGAGAAGAGAAUGUUCAUCCCUUGACGGUAUCUAACCAGAAAGCCACGGCUAACUACGUGCCAGCAGCCGCGGUAAUACGUAGGUGGCAAGCGUUGUCCGGAUUUAUUGGGCGUAAAGCGAGCGCAGGCGGUUUCUUAAGUCUGAUGUGAAAGCCCCCGGCUUAACCGGGGAGGGUCAUUGGAAACUGGGAGACUUGAGUGCAGAAGAGGAGAGUGGAAUUCCAUGUGUAGCGGUGAAAUGCGUAGAUAUAUGGAGGAACACCAGUGGCGAAGGCGGCUCUCUGGUCUGUAACUGACGCUGAGGCUCGAAAGCGUG
rnacentral:rRNA from 1 species